rnacentral:rRNA from 1 species
AGUGAACGCUGGCGGUAGGCCUAACACAUGCAAGUCGAACGGCAGCACAGUAAGAGCUUGCUCUUACGGGUGGCGAGUGGCGGACGGGUGAGGAAUACAUCGGAAUCUACUUUUUCGUGGGGGAUAACGUAGGGAAACUUACGCUAAUACCGCAUACGACCUACGGGUGAAAGCAGGGGAUCUUCGGACCUUGCGCGAUUGAAUGAGCCGAUGUCGGAUUAGCUAGUUGGCGGGGUAAAGGCCCACCAAGGCGACGAUCCGUAGCUGGUCUGAGAGGAUGAUCAGCCACCCUGGAACUGAGACACCGUCCCGACUCCUAAGGGAGGGAGCAGUGGGGAAUAUUGGACAAUGGGCGCAAGCCUGAUCCAGCCAUACCGCGUGGGUGAAGAAGGCCUUCGGGUUGUAAAGCCCUUUUGUUGGGAAAGAAAAGCAGCAGGUUAAUACCCCGCUGUUCUGACGGUACCCAAAGAAUAAGCACCGGCUAACUUCGUG